AUUCCAGCUCCAAUAGUGUAUAUUAAAGUUGUUGCAGUUAAAAAGCUCGUAGUUGGAUUUCUGGCGGGAGCGAUCGGUCCUUCACUCAGUGUUGGAACCUGAUUGUCUCCUGCCAUCCAUGGAGAAAACUUAUCUGGCAUUAAGUUGUCGGGUAGGCAAUCUCCAUCUUUUACUGUGAAAAAAUUAGAGUGUUCAAAGCAGGCUUAUGCCGUUGAAUAUAUUAGCAUGGAAUAAUAAGAUAGGACUAUGGUACUAUUUUGUUGGUUUGCAUACCAAAUUAAUGAUCAACAGGAACAGUUUGAGGAUAUUCGUAUGAACAUGUCAGAGGUAAAAUCCUUGGAUUUUGAUCAGACGAACUACUGCGAAAGCAUUUAUCAAGGAUGUUUUCAUUA
rnacentral:rRNA from 1 species